GCUACUGUAGCUCAGUUGGUAGAGCGGCUGAUUCGUAAUCAGCAGGUCGCAGGUUCAAAUCCUGUCGGUAGCU
rnacentral:tRNA from 1 species